rnacentral:rRNA from 1 species
CCUACGGGUGGCAGCAGUGGGGAAUAUUGGGCAAUGGGCGCAAGCCUGACCCAGCAACGCCGCGUGAAGGAAGAAGGCUUUCGGGUUGUAAACUUCUUUUCUGGGGGACGAACAAAUGACGGUACCCCAGGCCUAGCCUCGGCUAACUACGUUCCAGCAGCCGCGGUAAACCGUAGGUGGCAAGCGUUAUCCGGAUUUAUUGGGGGUAAAGGGAGUGUAGGAGGGGAUGCAAGUCAGAUGUGAAAGCUCAGGGCUCAACCCUGAGCCUGCAUUUGAAACUGUGGUUCUUGAGUGCUGGAGAGGCAAUCGGAAUUCCGUGUGUAGCGGUGAAAUGCGUAGAUAUACGGAGGAACACCAGUGGCGAAGGCGGAUUGCUGGACAGUAACUGACGCUGAGGCGCGAAAGCGUGGGGAGCAAACAGGAUUAGAUACCCGUGUAGUC